UCUGAAUCUGCGNACGGCUCCGCACACCAGUUGUAAACCAAAGCAAGCAAGCCCGGUCUCGACGCCUUUCGGGGCUAGGGGCCGGGCUACAAGGAUAACCCUGGUAAUUCUGAGGCUAAUACUUGACACGAACCUGCUGACUGGGUCUCGGCUCGGGAGGUGGGGGAUGUGCGACUAUCGGGCCAACGAAACCGGAAAGAGCGCACGUUCAGACCACUUAAAAAGGCUUCGGGGUCCCUCGGGAUCCCGGGGCUGUGGCUCUUGCAGCGUGCUUCUGACCUAUCAACUAGACGGCAGC
rnacentral:rRNA from 1 species